AUGGUCGAUCUUCCUUGGAUCGUACUUGGUGAUUUUAAUGAAAUCCUCUUGGGACGUGAGAAGGAAGGCGGGGCACUGAGGUCCCAAAGAAAUAUGCAGAAUUUUCGUGAUGCACUGGAUGAUUGUAACUUGUUUGAUAUGGGUUACGUCGGGGACAUCUUCACAUGGCGAAGGGGAAGGAUCCGGGAGAGGCUUGACCGGGCUGUAUGUGACCAACGAUGGGAUAAUCUUUUCCCUCUGGCUGGGGUGAUCCAUGGUGAUUUCUCCAAAUCAGAUCACAGACCGAUAGUUGUCUAUACGGAGUACCAGAGUAAUAUAAGGGCAACACCUAUAGUCCGGAAACAAUUUUUUAAAGCUCGGUGGCUAGUCGAGGAAACUGUUGAUGAUGUGGUGGGCCAAGCGUGGGCAGCUGCUAACUCCGGCCCAGGGGGGCUGGCCCAAAAGGUGCGGCAGGUGCACUCGGCCCUGCAUGCAUGGGACAGGCAGGUUCUGAAGGAACCGCGGCACUAG
rnacentral:rRNA from 1 species